CAUGGAUAGUGUGUAACUUUUUUUCCUACCCUCUUCAAUGUAUCUUUUCUUAUUUCCGUGCUACACCCAGGUGCUGUCAACUCUCACCUGGUUUCCUUAGCUCUGGUGAAGUAUUUUCGUGUAUGGAUUGUUUUUCAAAUUGAUGUUUCUGUUGGGGAAUGAGCACUGGAAAGUCCUGCUCUGCCAUCUUGCUGCCAUCUGGACUCCCAAGAACAUGCAUCAUUAUUAGAACCAUCACCCUGCAGCUAGCUUGGAUACCAUUAAAAGGGCUCAUCAGCUGCAAACGGAUUAAAGUAUCUGAUACUCGGGAAGACAGAGUUUCAGGGUUUCUACCUGGAGCUACACCCUCAGGAAGCCCCUCCUUGGCCUCCCUGCACCCAGUCCCAUCCCAACCAGUCACAUCUUGGGCUGUGCGUGGUGUUUCUUGGAAACUGGAACACAGACUCCUCCAGCAGCUCCACAGGUCCCUUGUCCUCAAUGAGCAGAAGACUACAGGAGCUGGCUACUGAAGAGGCUGUCCAAGUAAUAGAGCACCUUCUUGGCCCUGCUUAGCACAUUUACUGCAGAGCUGGAUGCUACUUAUUUGUGCUCACCACCUUCAGGGACUGCAGAGAGAUUUGUCAGACCCUACUUCACUAAGGGCCACCCUCUAAGGAUCUCCAGAAGAGGCUGCCCAUAGAGAGAAGUGGCCUGCCUAGGGUCUCCACUUCCUCAGGUCCUACCCGGACACCUCUAGGGCUGAGGGGAUCAGUAUCUCUUCACCUGCCUGUAAUCCACAUACCAAGUGGAAGAAUCUGCCUGCUAUUUUUUGUUUGUUUGUUUGUUUUGGCGGGAAGAGUUUUAACUACUGCUGUAACUCCUUUAGUAGCUAUGGAACUGUUGAGGAUUUCUUUUUCUUCUUGAGUCGAUUUUGGUAAGAUAACAGUUUUCUAGGAGUUGGUCCAUUUUGU
rnacentral:lncRNA from 1 species